CGCGCGCAGGCGGUUCCUUAAGUCUGAUGUGAAAGCCCCCGGCUCAACCGGGGAGGGUCAUUGGAAACUGGGGAACUUGAGUGCAGAAGAGGAGAGCGGAAUUCCACGUGUAGCGGUGAAAUGCAUAGAGAUGUGGAGGAACACCAGUGGCGAAGGCGGCUCUCUGGUCUGUAACUGACGCUGAGGCGCGAAAGCGUGGGGAGCGAACAGGAUUAGAUACCCUGGUAGUCCACGCCGUAAACGAUGAGUGCUAAGUGUUAGAGGGUUUCCGCCCUUUAGUGCUGCAGCAAACGCAUUAAGCACUCCGCCUGGGGAGUACGGCCGCAAGGCUGAAACUCAAAGGAAUUGACGGGGGCCCGCACAAGCGGUGGAGCAUGUGGUUUAAUUCGAAGCAACGCGAAGAACCUUACCAGGUCUUGACAUCCUCUGACAACCCUAGAGAUAGGGCUUUCCCCUUCGGGGGACAGAGUGACAGGUGGUGCAUGGUUGUCGUCAGCUCGUGUCGUGAGAUGUUGGGUUAAGUCCCGCAACGAGCGCAACCCUUGAUCUUAGUUGCCAGCAUUAAGUUGGGCACUCUAAGGUGACUGCCGGUGACAAACCGGAGGAAGGUGGGGAUGACGUCAAAUCAUCAUGCCCCUUAUGACCUGGGCUACACACGUGCUACAAUGGAUGGAACAAAGGGCAGCGAAGCCGCGAGGUGAAGCCAAUCCCAUAAAACCAUUCUCAGUUCGGAUUGCAGGCUGCAACUCGCCUGCAUGAAGCCGGAAUCGCUAG
rnacentral:rRNA from 1 species